rnacentral:rRNA from 1 species
UACGUAGGGGGCAAGCGUUGUCCGGAAUCAUUGGGCGUAAAGCGCGCGUAGGCGGCCCGGUAAGUCCGCUGUAAAAGUCCAGGGCUCAACCCCGGGAGGCGGAUGGAUACUGUCAGGCUUGAGUACGGAAGAGGCGAGUGGAAUUCCCGGUGUAGCGGUGAAAUGCGCAGAUAUCAAAAGGAACACCAAUUGCGAAGGCAGCUCGCUGGGACGUUACUGACGCUGAGACGCGAAAGCGUGAGGAGCAAACAGG